rnacentral:rRNA from 1 species
ACUCCUACGGGAGGCAGCAGUGGGGAAUAUUGCACAAUGGGGGAAACCCUGAUGCAGCCAUGCCGCGUGUGUGAAGAAGGCCUUCGGGUUGUAAAGCACUUUCAGUAGGGAGGAAGGUAGUGUAGUUAACACCUGCAUAUUGAUCGUAUCCUACAGAAGAAGCACCGGCUAACUCCGUGCCAGCAGCCGCGGUAAUACGGAGGGUGCGAGCGUUAAUCGGAAUUACUGGGCGUAAAGCGCAUGCAGGCGGCCUGUUAAGUCAGAUGUGAAAGCCCGGGGCUUAACCUCGGAAUUGCAUUUGAAACUGGCAGGCUAGAGUCUUGUAGAGGGGGGUAGAA